CAAAAACAGCAAAAUGUGAAUGAAAUGCUGUUUGUGUGAAUGAAAGGGCUAGCGAGCGAGCCAGCGUUUCUGUGAAUGAAGCCGGGCCUUGCAGCCGGCGCCAGGCAAUCCCCUGGUUCCAGCGGCCUCAGCCAAUGAGCAGCCGCCCCGAUGACUCAUUCAACAAAAGCUUGCUCAAUAGUGGAAGAUUCCAUUUCAAUCAAAGGCGGGAUCUUUCAUCCAACGGCAGUGUGGGAAAAAAAAAAAAAAAAAAAAAAGCCAACCUGAUUACAAAGAUGUAGGGAGGAAGGAGAAGGCUGUUAUGAUGAGAAGAAAAACUAGUUUUUCCAAGGAAAUUCAAGAUCCACUGGACAGGUAUGAGUGCGAAUAGGACUGCCCUCUUGGAGCCAGAGCAUGGAAACAACAGAGAUGUCCAGCAACUGGUGAAUAAAAGACUACUCUGAAGGAACGAGCUACUGAUACACACUACAACCUAGAUGAACCCAAAACUGUUAUGCUGUGAGAAAGAAGCCAGACACAGCAGACCACCGGUUAAGCCUUCCUUCAGAUCCUGUAUUUCUCAUACAAG
ensembl:lncRNA